GCAAGUCGAACGGUAACAGCGAGAGCUUGCUCUCGGCUGACGAGUGGCGGACGGGUGAGUAACGCGUGGGAAUCUACCCAGUAGCGGGGGACAACUCGGGGAAACUCGAGCUAAUACCGCAUACGCCCUUCGGGGGAAAGGCUUCGGCCACUAUUGGAUGAGCCCGCGUUGGAUUAGUUUGUUGGUGGGGUAACGGCCUACCAAGCCUACGAUCUAUAGCUGGUUUGAGAGGAUGAUC
rnacentral:rRNA from 1 species